GAUGAACGCUAGCUACAGGCUUAACACAUGCAAGUCGAGGGGCAGCAUGGUCUUAGCUUGCUAAGGCCGAUGGCGACCGGCGCACGGGUGAGUAACACGUAUCCAACCUGCCGUCUACUCUUGGACAGCCUUCUGAAAGGAAGAUUAAUACAAGAUGGCAUCAUGAGUCCGCAUGUUCACAUGAUUAAAGGUAUUCCGGUAGACGAUGGGGAUGCGUUCCAUUAGAUAGUAGGCGGGGUAACGGCCCACCUAGUCUUCGAUGGAUAGGGGUUCUGAGAGGAAGGUCCCCCACAUUGGAACUGAGACACGGUCCAAAAUCCUACGGGAGGCAGCAGUGAGGAAGAUUGGUCAAUGGGCGAGAGCCUGAACCAGCCAAGUAGCGUGAAGGAGGACUGCCCUAUGGGUUGUAAACUUCUUUUAUAAAGGAAUAAAGUCGGGUAUGGAUACCCGUUUGCAUGUACUUUAUGAAUAAGGAUCGGCUAACUCCGUG
rnacentral:rRNA from 1 species